GUCUUGAACACUGCUGGAAGCCUACUAGAUAUUUAAUGUAAUCACCAUGAUAAUGGCUAAGAUUUAUUAAGCAUCUGCUAUGUGCUUUAUGGUGCUAAGAACUUCUCAUGUAUUUACUCAUUGAAUCUUCACAAAAACCUUAUGAACAUCAGAGCUGAUGAAUACUCAGUCAGAAGAAAUGCAGGCCUGCAGGUUUGUCCACAAAGUGUUCCCAUCAACCGUGACGGCUCUCUCAAAUGUUACUGUCUAUAUGAAUCCACCUUGGGAUAUUAGUAAAAUGAGUUUCUGAUACAGAAGAUCUAGAAAGCGCCUGAAAUGCUGAUAUUCUGUCUCCCAGGUGGAGGAGUUCAGCUAUUACCUUGACUUUGCCGAAGUCCUAGGCACU
rnacentral:lncRNA from 1 species